rnacentral:rRNA from 1 species
UUAGUAGCAGCUUGUGCAGUUGAUGCACACAGUUUUGUAUUUCUAGUUGCCUACGGUGUGCUGGAGACAGAGUCUGAGGAGAGCUGGACUUGGUUUUUGCAUAAUCUACGCCGGGCUAUUGCACAUCCCAAUGGGUUGGUCAUUCAUACAGAUGCCUGCAAAGGUUUAGAAGUGGCCGUGGACAAUGUGUUCCCUGGAGUAGAGCAUAGGGAAUGCAUGCGUCACCUUGCUGCAAAUUUCAUGAAGAAAUUCAAAGGAAAGGUGUAUACCGACAAUUUAUGGCCAGCAUCUUUGACUUGCAGUGUGAAGAAGCACAACUACCACUUGAGGCAGUUAUACAUGAAUCCCAAAUUGAAAGAAUACUUGGAAACACACCACUCCAAGUUAUGGGCCAGAAACUAA